AAGUCUUGCAUAACCAAAGAUUGAUCAACACACCUGCCUAGUGUUAACAUCUUCCACAAGAAAGAUGGCUAGUUCUAAAGUAAUGUGGGUGUUCUGCCUCCUAGCUUUACUGGCUUUCACUUCUUGUUCUUAUCAUGUACGAGCAGAAGAUCAUGCCACUAAGGAGAAAAAUGAGGUGAUGGAGUAUUGCAAGAGGUACAUAUUCAAAAAUUACGGCGAUCAGUUUCCUGACCCCCACAGGAAAUGUUGCCAAACAGUAAGAGAAUCAAGACACAUCCAUGCUAUACGCCAGAAAUUCACGCACGCGGAUUUGCAUAAGAUCAGUCUAGCCAAGUGGCUCAUGUUACAUAUUGGUGUGGCAACAGAUUGCACCCAGGGACUAAUUGCGCAGGUUUCAUCGUUCCAGAUUAUAGUGCGCCACCACCUCCAGAACACUAAACGUAAGGCCGGUCCGGUCAAAUAAGGAAAGGAGUGUUAUAAUAUGGAGCACUUAGUCUAAGGCAGUCUUAUCGAACAAAGGAAGGGAUGCUAUGAUAUUGAUGCUUUAUCAUAGGACCUCUGCAAUAAUGUAUCUUACUUUUAAUUUUAUGACUAAUAAAAGGACUGCCCGCAUGUUCUCUUUGUGUUU